CCUACGGGUGGCACCAGUGGGGAAUAUUGCACAAUGGGCGCAAGCCUGAUGCAGCCAUGCCGCGUGCGUGAAGAAGGCCUUAGGGUUGUAAAGCUCUUUCACCGGUGAAGAUAAUGACGGUAACCGGAGAAGAAGCCCCGGCUAACUUCGUGCCAGCAGCCGCGGUAAUACGAAGGGGGCUAGCGUUGUUCGGAAUUACUGGGCGUAAAGCGCGCGUAGGCGGAUAGAUAAGUCAGAGGUGAAAUCCCGGGGCUCAACCCCGGAGUUGCCUUUGAUACUGUUUAUCUUGAGUGCAGAAGAGGUAAGUGGAAUUCCGAGUGUAGAGGUGAAAUUCGUAGAUAUUCGGAGGAACACCAGUGGCGAAGGCGGCUUACUGGUCUGCAACUGACGCUCAGGUGCGAAAGCGUGGGGAGCAAACAGGAUUAGAUACCCUUGUAGUC
rnacentral:rRNA from 1 species